rnacentral:rRNA from 1 species
UUAAAAUUUUAAAUUUUAUUAAUAUAUUAUUAAAAAAAGAAAAACGUUAUACAAAAUUAAAAUACUCCCGUGUACCACAAGUUGAUAUAGUCUCGGGUGGUGUAUCUUCUUUAUUCGCCGGCUUAUUAGGUUUUUUAGUAACAGAAAAGGUUGGUUUUGAGUUAAUUGAUUCAGGUGAUUUUUAUGUAUUAGUUGUUUACCUUGCUAUAAUAUUAAACAGUUUACGUAUUUUAUAUAAAACUAUUGUUUUAUAAUUUAAUUAAUUGGAAGAAGGUAGUGCCGUUAGUUGAAUGAGAUAUAACAUUGUCUACUAAAUUAAAAUAUGUUUGUUUAUUACUUUUUGAUUUUAGUUUUAUUGGGUUGAAUAACUGUAAUGGCGAAAGAUAAGAUAGUAUUUAAAAUAAUUUAAAUAUGGCUUGAGUAAAUUAUGAGAUGAAAUUUCGUGAUUGAAUAGGAAUACCGUUUCCUAAUGCUAUAUAAAUAACAUUGAUAGAAAAGAGUAACGUGAGUGAAAGAUGAAAAGAAAUUAGAAUAAUUAUAAGUUAAAAGAUUUUGAAACCCAGUAUUAUAAACCGAUUAAAGCCUAUGCGAUUCUGUACCUUUUGCAUAAUGGGCUAACAAAUUAAUAUAUUAUGGUUGUUUAUUUAAAUUUUAGACUUAACUAACGUAAAAACUUUUAUAUAUUAGACCCGAAACUAGACGAUCUAAUCUAAAACAAAUUGAUGUUAUUCACACUAACUGAGGAUUGAACCCGUGAAUGUUGCAAAAUUCUGGGAUGAUUUUAGAUUAGCGGUGAAAUGCCAAUCAAGUUUAGUCAUAGCUGGUUCUCUACGAAAAUUAUUUAAGUAAUGCUGUUAGUAUUGAUUAUUUAAGGUACAUUUAUUUUUAGAUAUAGUACGAAUAUUUGGAGGUAUUCUAAAAAAAAAAUUAAUAUAAAUAAUAUUAAACUAAUAAGUUAGAUGUAUCGGCGCUAAGGUUAUACAUCGAAAGGGAAACAGCCCAGAUUAUAAAAUAAGGUUCUUAAUUAUAUAUAAGUCUAUAAAAAGUGUAAAUCUAGAAAAUUCUCUAAGAUAUUGGUAUGGAAGCUUUCACUAAAUAAUGAACGCAUAACCGCGCAAAAGAUUAAUAUAAAAUAAUGAAUAUAUUUUUGAUACUAGUUAUACGCUGAGAAUUUAUAGGAGUUAAUAUAUAUAAACCGAAUUUAUAAAAAUUGUUAUUCAAUUUGGUAGUAGAGUAUUCUAUAUAUUGUUGAUGUUUAAUUGUAAAAUUAGAUUGAAAAAUUAGUAGAAAUAAUGUUGGCAUGAGUAGUGUAAAGUGUUUUGUUUCAAUAUUUAAUGUUUGUAGCUAAUAACUAUUGAUUGUCAAUAGAUGUGUUAAUUUUUAUUGGUGUAUUGGUUUUACUGAUACUGAAUACAGAUGUUAAGUAGUUAAAUUCAACACCACUGAAAGUUAUAAGUUUUCGUUGCACUGUAAAUCAACAACGAGAAAGAAAAGAAUAUUUAAUAUUUGUACUCAAUCCCUAAAUUAUUGAAGAAAUUCGACUAAAUGACGGGUAUUAUUAUAUCGACAUAUUACAAUAUUUACAUUUUAUGAUUAUUUAGAAUUUAAUGUAAAGACGAUAAAUAUUUAAAAAAACUAUAAUUUUUAAUUUUGAGAAAUUAGUUUUGAUGAAUUAAAUUGUACAAAAUCCAACACCGGUUAACGGGUUGAAUAUACUAAAGUGAAAAGGUAAUAUAAUUUAAGGAACUCGGCAAAUUAACUUCGUAACUUCGGGAAAAGAAGGACUAAUUUAUUAGUGUAAUAAAAGAGGGGAUAGCGACUGUUUAACAAAAACACAGGACUCUGCUAAAUUUUUAUAUGAAGUAUUGAGUCUGACGCCUGCCCUGUGCUGAAAGAUGAAACAAAUUAGUAUUAUGCUAAUUAUUUUUUUUUUAAUAAAUCCCAGUAAACGGCGGCCUUAUUCUGAGGGUCCUAAGGUAGCAAAAUCCAUUGGCGAGUAAUUUUCGUCCUGUCGAAUGGCGUAACGACUUUCCCACUGUCUCAAAUUAUAUCUUUACGAAAUUGAAUUAUAGGUGAAAAUGCCUAUUAAACACAACGGGACGGAGAGACCCUAUGCAUCUUUACUAGAAUCAUAAAUUAACUUAAUCGUAUAAAAUAAACAUUGUUCUGUAUUUUUAUGCCGUCUGACAUAGAAAUACGUAAAACAUUUUUUAUUCCAAUACAUUAGGUUUAGGAUAUUUUAUACAUACCAUAUAUUUAUAGUUUAUGAGUGCUAGUUUAACUGGGGCGGUAGCCUCCAAAAUAGUAACGGAGGUGAACAAAAAAUCAAUUAAAAAUACAAUUCAUUUUGUAUUUAAUAAAUUAUAAUGAAUUACAUCCGAUUUGAUUUAAAAAUUUACAAAUUUUUAAAGAGUAUUAAGUAUACUUGUCAUAGUGAUCCGAUAUAUUUGAACGGUAGAGAUAUCGCUUAACGAAUAAAAGGUACGCUAGGGAUAACAGGCUAAUAAUUCUUAAGAGUACCCAUCGAGAGAAUUGUUUGGCACCUCGAUGUCGGCUCAUCACAUCCUGGUUGGGAAUCGUCUUCCAAGGGUUGAUCUGUUCUAUCAUUAAAGUGGUACGUGAGCUGGGUUCAAAACGUCGUGAGACAGUUUGGUCCCUAUCUGUUGUGUGUAUUGAAAAGAAAAAGAAUCUGACCUUAGUACGAGAGGACCGGGAAGGACCAAUCAAUGAUAACACAAUUAUCAAACUAAAUUGGUAUGUUGUUUUGUUAAAUUGGGAUUAAAUAAUUGCUGAAUACCAUAUGAAGCGAGAAGUUACCUUUUUUAUUUUCAUAUAAAGUUAUUAAACACAAUAAUACAAAUUUUUUCAAUGUUUAGUUUGAGAAAAUUGCAGUUGAAAAGUGUUUUUAUUUAAAUAUUUAAACAAAUAUUCGGGUUAAUGAA